UACGAAGGGGGCUAGCGUUGCUCGGAAUCACUGGGCGUAAAGGGCGCGUAGGCGGCUUGCCAAGUCAGGGGUGAAAUCCUGCAGCUUAACUGUAGAAGGGCCUUUGAUACUGGCGAGCUCGAGGGAGGUAGGGGUAUGUGGAACUUCCGGUGGAGCGGUGAAAUGCGUUGAUAUCGGAAGGAACGCCGGUGGCGAAAGCGACGUACUGGACCUCUUCUGACGCUGAGGCGCGAAAGCUAGGGGAGCAAACGGG
rnacentral:rRNA from 1 species